rnacentral:rRNA from 1 species
UUGGAGGGCAAGUCUGGUGCCAGCAGCCGCGGUAAUUCCAGCUCCAAUAGCGUAUAUUAAAGUUGUUGCAGUUAAAAAGCUCGUAGUUGAAUUUCGGGGUUAGUAGGUUGGUCGUGCCUCAGGUAUGUACUGAUCUCACUGAUUCCUCCUUCCUGAUGAACCGUAAUGCCAUUAAUUUGGUGUUGCGGGGAAACUGGACUGUUACUUUGAAAAAAUUAGAGUGUUUAAAGCAGGCUAACGCUUGAAUACAUUAGCAUGGAAUAAUGAAAUAGGACGUUCGAUCCUAUUUUGUUGGUUUCUAGGAUUGACGUAAUGACUAAUAGAGAUAGUUGGGGGCAUUAGUAUUCAAUUGUCAGAGGUGAAAUUCUUGGAUUUAUUGAAGACUAACUACUGCGAAAGCAUUUGCCAAGGAUGUUUUCAUUAAUCAAGAACGAAAGUUAGGGGAUCGAAGACGAUCAGAUACCGUCGUAGUCUUAACCAUAAACUAUGCCGACUAGGGAUCGGAUGAUGUUAAUUUUUUAAUGACUCAUUCGGCGCCUUACGGGAAA